GAUCGGCCACAUUGGGACUGAGACACGGCCCAAACUCCUACGGGAGGCAGCAGUAGGGAAUCUUCGGCAAUGGACGAAAGUCUGACCGAGCAACGCCGCGUGAGUGAAGAAGGUUUUCGGAUCGUAAAACUCUGUUGUUAGAGAAGAACAAGGAUGAGAGUAACUGUUCAUCCCUUGACGGUAUCUAACCAGAAAGCCACGGCUAACUACGUGCCAGCAGCCGCGGUAAUACGUAGGUGGCAAGCGUUGUCCGGAUUUAUUGGGCGUAAAGCGAGCGCAGGCGGUUUCUUAAGUCUGAUGUGAAAGCCCCCGGCUCAACCGGGGAGGGUCAUUGGAAACUGGGAGACUUGAGUGCAGAAGAGGAGAGUGGAAUUCCAUGUGUAGCGGUGAAAUGCGUAGAUAUAUGGAGGAACACCAGUGGCGAAGGCGGCUCUCUGGUCUGUAACUGACGCUGAGGCUCGAAAGCGUGGGGAGCAAACAGGAUUAGAUACCCUGGUAGUCCACGCCGUAAACGAUGAGUGCUAAGUGUUGGAGGGUUUCCGCCCUUCAGUGCUGCAGCUAACGCAUUAAGCACUCCGCCUGGGGAGUACGACCGCAAGGUUGAAACUCAAAGGAAUUGACGGGGGCCCGCACAAGCGGUGGAGCAUGUGGUUUAAUUCGAAGCAACGCGAAGAACCUUACCAGGUCUUGACAUCCUUUGACCACUCUAGAGAUAGAGCUUCCCCUUCGGGGGCAAAGUGACAGGUGGUGCAUGGUUGUCGUCAGCUCGUGUCGUGAGAUGUUGGGUUAAGUCCCGCAACGAGCGCAACCCUUAUUGUUAGUUGCCAUCAUUCAGUUGGGCACUCUAGCAAGACUGCCGGUGACAAACCGGAGGAAGGUGGGGAUGACGUCAAAUCAUCAUGCCCCUUAUGACCUGGGCUACACACGUGCUACAAUGGGAAGUACAACGAGUUGCGAAGUCGCGAGGCUAAGCUAAUCUCUUAAAGCUUCUCUCAGUUCGGAUUGCAGGCUGCAACUCGCCUGCAUGAAGCCGGAAUCGCUAGUAAUCGCGGAUCAGCACGCCGCGGUGAAUACGUUCCCGGGCCUUGUACACACCGCCCGUCACACCACGAGAGUUUGUAACACCCGAAGUCGGUGAGGUAACCUUUUGGAGCCAGCCGCCUAAGGUGGGAUAGAUGAUUGGGGUGAAGUCGUAACAAGGUAGCCGUAUCGGAAGGUGCGGCUG
rnacentral:rRNA from 1 species